UCUUGGUGUUGCUGCGAGACAGAAUUGCAGAAUUUGACCUGAGGUAAUCAGGAUUUUGUCUUUGAGGUUUUGCUGUCAAGUUUUCAGAUCAGACCCUUGGGCAAAGUUGUAAGAGUACUGAGCAACAGAAAGGAUCCUGUCCCGUCCUGCACCCCUUACUCAUUGUUCAUAUACCUAUUGCUCAGGGUCCUGAGCACCUUAUUAACCAGGAGGCAUCACCACUGAAGAACCACACGGUCCUGCUGAGCACAAGCCCCUGCUGGGUGCAUAUGCUGCACUCACACCUUGAGAUUCCACCCAAAAAAACCUGAGGAAAAUAGCAGCAAUAGCAGCCAAACAAGAGGAAUGCUAGAAACCAUUGUCUGCAAGGACACUGAGGCUGUCUCAGUUCUGCUUUGGAGUUCUGCUCGUUAGAACACACCCAUGGGAAGGACCAAACUCUUUUCCCCUGCUUUUCCCUGUGUGCCUGGCAUGUACACCUCUAGGCUCAGCUUUGGUGCUGCCUUCUUCAAUCUUUAGAACAGCAUGCUCUGAAGCACAACUUGUUAUUAGUCAGAUGGGAAAGAGAUGGGACCAGAUUCCCUAAUUAUUUUAAAUGGCCUUUCCUGGUACACUGCAGA